UCUGCCUGCAUGGGCCCUGGUUGUCAGGCUGGCAGACUGCAGUCUCACUGAGGCUUUCAUCUGAGUCAACCCAACUGCAGCCCGGCUCACUGGCUCUUCUGACGUCCAAUCCCCAUGUCUAUGCGAGAGUGUGUGACAGCCUCAGAGGCCCUCCCAGCACCAGGGACAGCGGCCCCAGCCGACUCAUGGCCAGGUUGUGUGCGACUCCUUUAAGCGGUUUUCCACUUCCCACUUGGCGAACCAGCCGCCGGUUCGGUAAACCAGAGACUCAAGCCAGAGGGACACGGCCUUUGUCUCCAGUCUCCUGAAUUGCAAGUGUCUCAGCCCUGUGUUUCUCUGUGGCUUUGCCACAUAUGGUGGAGAAUGCGGGGAGCUGAGACCACUGUCUGACGUAUGCAAUUCAGGAGGGGAAAAAAAACUAUGGAGGAAGCUAUGAUCUUGACAGGCCCAAAGCAUGAUCGGCCUGCAGGAAGAGUCCACCUAAAGGAAGACCCCAGGAACAACCCACAUCUGAGACAAGGACCGACAGGCCCACAAGGGUCGCACUGAAAAGGCAGCAGCAGUUAUGGGAGGAAAUUACCUCCAGGCUGAAGGCCAUGUUGGCCCUGGUCCUAACCAACACCCCUUGAGCGGAGGAUUCGGCCCUAGAGGGAAAACUGAGGGAGGGGGCAAGAGCAGCGACACGGUUAGCGACGACGAGGUUGGCGAGAGCGGGGAAACAGCUGGCCAGAGGAGCGACGUGGAUAGUGGCGACUCAGUCACUUACAGCAGCGUCACAGACAGCAAGAGAGAUGCCACGGACAUGCGGUGACACUGUUGGCGAGAGUGACCUGGUCAGCAAGAGCGGAGGCAUGGCGCCUGGCUGCGACACGUUAGCGAAUCAGUGGCCGCCGACUGCACAAAAGCGGAGUGGACAGGGCUCAGAGGAGGAUAAAGACUCGAGCCCGAGAAGAACGGCUUGAGAGAGAAAGAGAGAGGUCGUUGAUGUUAAGUUUCAGUUUGGUCCCUCAGGUAUAGACCUGAGCGGCCGACCCGGGUGGAGCGAGGCUCCCCGGAAGAUUCUUUUGUUUUGGUUGAAAUGUGUCUCUUUUGUAAACUAAAACACACGGGAGUGCUUGUUCCCUGUC